CCCGGCCGAAGCCGUCCUCCCCCUCCUCCUUGUUCUGUGUGGCCGGCUAGUGGGGCCCACUUGGCAGCCGGACACCCUCCCCUCUCUCUCCCUUUCCAACGGGGUCCACCCGUCAGCCGGCUGGUCCCCUCUAAACUCUCUCCCCCUCUUGGGCCCACCUGUCAACCCUCAUCCUCCCCUUCUCCCACCGACAGGUGGCCCCACUCGUCAGC
rnacentral:lncRNA from 1 species